rnacentral:rRNA from 1 species
UACGUAGGGGGCAAGCGUUAUCCGGAUUUACUGGGUGUAGAGGGAGCGUAGACGGACUUGCAAGUCUGAUGUGAAAAUCCGGGGCCCAACCCCGGAACUGCAUUGGAAACUGUAUAUCUAGAGUGUCGGAGAGGCAAGUGGAAUUCCUGGUGUAGCGGUGAAAUGCGUAGAUAUCAGGAGGAACACCAGUGGCGAAGGCGGCUUGCUGGACGAUGACUGACGUUGAGGCUCGAAAGCGUGGGGAGCAAACAGG